CAAAAUUAUAACAUUUUAAGACAAAAAUGCCGCUCUCCCAUUGUCUCUUUCCUCAGAUCUCAACCUCUCCGUCUCUUUCUUCUUCCUCCUCCCUUCCAUUCGAACCCUAGUUUUCCACGACAUCUCUCAAUAUUUAGAAAAUGGGGAAGCCAUCCAAAGGCAAGAAAUAUGAGAAUUUGGAAAGGGAAUAGUCACCCCCGUCCAAAUCGCCUUCAUCGUUGACCGAUACCUCUGCGACAACAACUACUUGGCACCAAAGAGUUUGCUAAGCGUGAUGAACACUUACAAUGUCGGCGGAAGCCCCACAGUCUCUGCACCUCGGUUGUGGCUCCGAAGUCGAUGCUUAUGGCUACUCUGUCUCACCUGUUUAAUGGAUCUGUUGCAGGUAUGAAGGUUUGGAUCGAUAUAUAAGGUCAAGACUUAUUCUGCAACCAAACUCAAUUUCGGUUUGUUGCUUCUAAAGUGGCGAUUGAUGGGUUCCUUUUUGGGCCAUUGGAUUUGCUUGUGUUUUUCACAUACAUGGGUUUUUCUGCCGGAAAGAGUUUUCCUCAAUUCAAGGAAGAUGGUAAAAGGGAUUUUCUACCAGCCUUUGUUCUGGAAGGAGGCGUAUGGCCGAUUGUGCAACUAGUAAAUUUUCGGUUUACACCUGUGAGAUAUCAGCUCCUCUAUGUCAACUUCUUCUGCUUGUUGGAUAGCUCUUUUUUGUCAUGGCUCGAGCAACAACAGGACGCUUCAUGGAAGCAAUGGUUGAAAUCCCGUGUACUUGUUAGCAAACAAAAGGGUGAAGGCGAUUGAUUGCCCUUGGACUACAGAUUCAGCUUUCGUUUGAGUCCUCGAUGAUUACAGUGGCUCACGUCAGAAAAGUAAAACAGUUGAGUGAGAGAACUAAGAUACCAACUUAGUUUUUGGAAGUUGGGAAUUCAGAAAAGGUGGAUUUGCUCUCAUGGUAAUCCAGUUUUUACUUGCGAUCCAAGUUUUCUUUGAUUUUUGUUUAACAGAUAUGAACAAGCAAAUAACAGCUGCUACUUCAAACCCAGGAAGAAAGUUACUGUAAAAUUAUUUACCAGAAACAUUAAUGUAAUCUGUAAUUUUUUUUUUUCAGCAGGCAAUUGAAAAAAAUGGAAUAUACAUAAUAUAAAAUUGAACAAGCAAACAAAAAAAAAAAAUCAUUCCCCAGAACACAAAGGUUUCGGGAUCUUAAUUCUUAACUCCAGACCGUUCGUUGGCCCUCGCUGCUGGAGCCGGAAGGGUUAAGACCGUACUCACUGGACAUUCCACUUUCUUUGGAGUAAAAAGUAAUCAAAUGGAUGAAUUUUGGAGUGGUUCCAAUUGGAGGAUGUUUGUGAGUCUUUCAAGAUGAUUGUGUCAAAAUUUCAGAUUUUUCUACCAAGCCGUUUGACUGUGGCGAAGAAAAGAAAGCCUAUCGCAGCUUUCCCAGAUUGAUGAUUUUGGAUGUUUUGGGUAUUUUGGAGAUCAAGAUGACAUAUUUUGAGGAAGAUUCCUUUUGAAGAUUUGUUAGAGACGUCUUAUGCUUUAAACAAGAUCUUUUCGGACCAAAUCGGAAUUGAUUUGGUUGGUUAAAAGUCUGAUUUUCUGAGAAGUCCGAAUUUCAGUUCAAAUAGGAAACCUUUUAUUUCCUUGUUAUCUUAUUCUAUUAUGUUUCAUAGUUUUUAGAAGACAUUUUCUAAGUAGGAUUUUAUUUUGUAGUAGUAUAAAUAAGGAUAUUUAGCCAUUAUAAACGAACGCAUCAAUUUGGAGAACUUAGCUAGGCUUUGACGUUUUAAGGUGUUUUCUAUCUUUUUUU